AACAGGAUUAGAUACCCUGGUAGUCCACGCCGUAAACGAUGUCGAUUUGGAGGUUGUGCCCUUGAGGCGUGGCUUCCGGAGCUAACGCGUUAAAUCGACCGCCUGGGGAGUACGGCCGCAAGGUUAAAACUCAAAUGAAUUGACGGGGGCCCGCACAAGCGGUGGAGCAUGUGGUUUAAUUCGAUGCAACGCGAAGAACCUUACCUGGUCUUGACAUCCACAGAACUUAGCAGAGAUGCUUUGGUGCCUUCGGGAACUGUGAGACAGGUGCUGCAUGGCUGUCGUCAGCUCGUGUUGUGAAAUGUUGGGUUAAGUCCCGCAACGAGCGCAACCCUUAUCCUUUGUUGCCAGCGGUUAGGCCGGGAACUCAAAGGAGACUGCCAGUGAUAAACUGGAGGAAGGUGGGGAUGACGUCAAGUCAUCAUGGCCCUUACGACCAGGGCUACACACGUGCUACAAUGGCGCAUACAAAGAGAAGCGACCUCGCGAGAGCAAGCGGACCUCAUAAAGUGCGUCGUAGUCCGGAUUGGAGUCUGCAACUUGACUCCAUGAAGUCGGAAUCGCUAGUAAUCGUAGAUCAGAAUGCUACGGUGAAUACGUUCCCGGGCCUUGUACACACCGCCCGUCACACCAUGGGAGUGGGUUGCAAAAGAAGUAGGUAGCUUAACCUUCGGGAGGGCGCUUACCACUUUGUGAUUCAUGACUGGGGUGAAGUCGUAACAAGGUAACC
rnacentral:rRNA from 1 species